rnacentral:rRNA from 1 species
GACGAACGCUGGCGGCGUGCCUAAUACAUGCAAGUCGAACGCAUUUUCUUUCACCGUAGCUUGCUACACCGAAAGAAAAUGAGUGGCGAACGGGUGAGUAACACGUGGGUAACCUGCCCAUCAGCGGGGGAUAACACUUGGAAACAGGUGCUAAUACCGCAUAAUUCCAUUUACCGCAUGGUAAAUGGAUGAAAGGCGCUUUUGCGUCACUGAUGGAUGGACCCGCGGUGCAUUAGCUAGUUGGUGGGGUAACGGCCUACCAAGGCCGCGAUGCAUAGCCGACCUGGGAGGGUGGUCGGCCACACUGGGACUGAGACACGGCCCAGACUCCUACGGGAGGCAGCCGUAGGGAAUCUUCGGCAAUGGACGCAAGUCUGACCGAGCAACGCCGCGUGAGUGAAGAAGGUUUUCGGAUCGUAAAACUCUGUUGUUAGAGAAGAACAAGGAUGAGAGUGGAAAGUUCAUCCCUUGACGGUAUCUAACCAGAAAGCCACGGCUAACUACGUG